rnacentral:lncRNA from 1 species
UGUCUGUCAAUGCAGGGUCAUGUUAUGAUCAGUUAUUAUUGAUAAUGAACAACAGUCAUCAAAUUAAUUGUAAGUUUGGAUUCCAGCAGCAGUGGCAUGUACCUAGUGGUGGUUUAUUGUUGUCACUUCAAGGCUUCUUUGAGAGUCGGUUUCCUGUUGUUUCCACAUGAGGACAGAGUGCUGGAAGUCAUUUAUUGCUUCUGGUCCAGGACACAGGGUGAUCGCCUGCAGCGAUGAGGAAGGAACCAACUCUGGACUAUCUAGAUUUUAAGCCCGUCUUCUUGAUGAAUACAAAGGGAACACUUGAUCUGUGUAUGCCAACAGCCUUUUAAGGAAAGGAUAAAGAGAGGUCUGAACUGGAAGCAGGAGGAUACUUUGAUCCAAGUAAGCAAGAGGAAGAAGGGCCAUGCAUUUAUGGGGCACAAAAGCAAUUCUUUUGUGAACAAGCACCUAAGAUGAGUUUAUUGCACUGUCUUACAUAGCAGCUGUACUUCUGUUCAAUGUACUGCAGAACAUGUUUUAUUCUUCAUAAUGGUUAUUAUUUUGUCUUGUUCCCAGAUGUAUCCUUGAAGAUCACUGCUAUGCUUUUUUCACGUUUUUCUAUGAACUUCAAAGAAGCAAUUAUUUUCUAGCGAUGUUGGGGACAGGAAAAUAGAGGAGUAUUUGGGCAUUUCCAGUUAUUUUCCUUUCUUUCUUUUUUUUUUUUUUCUUUUUUUCUUUUUUUUUUU